GGAAGACUGUUAAGCAAAACAGACCUGGCUGGCCUGAAAGGGUCAAACAGGGAACACGCGGCCCCUCCUGAAAGGGAAGGACUGCCAUGUGAAACUGGCAAGCAUAAGCUACAGCUUCUUCGUUCCGUGACCAAGAGCAGAACGUGUUCUGUGGAGAGAACACCUUUUGAUCACUGUACUGACCAAAAUCCACAAAGAGCUAAUUAAGUAAUGAUGUAUUGCUGUCAGCUGCAUGAAUGUUAUCUGAUUUAAGUAUUGUAUACUCCUGUAGCUAAAAGAUAUAAAAACCCUGUAACAACAAUAAACUUUGCUUCUUGCGCCACCAGAGCCUUAAGCCCGUCUGUCCCAGGCGUCUUGAGCUGGUCUCCGUCAUCUGGUGCCGAAACCCGGGAUACUCGGACUCCAAUGACAAAGGCGUCGCUUCCUCCCACGAGCCGCGGUUGUAGCCUCAGCCUUGUCUGGUGAAAAACUCUCUCAUGUAUGCAACCAUCUUUUGCAUUGUUUUAGCGUUAUGGGAACAAUGAAAUCAUUAAAAACCGAUCACGGGCCAGCUUAUGUAAGUAGCGGUUUUGCAACCUUUUGUCGACAUUUUAAAAUUCACCAUAAAACUGGAAUUCCAUAUAAUCCAGAAGGCCAAGGCAUAGUAGAAAAAUUUAAUCAUUUUCUGAAAACUCAACUAAAGAAAAUAAAAGGGGGGACAUGAGGAAUUAAAGAUACUCCGUCCUCUAUAUUAUCACAUGCAUUAUUUGUUUUAAAUUUUUUGACACUGGAUGAUGAUGGAAAAUUGGCUGCGAAUAGAUAUUGGAGUAAUAAAACAAGAGAUAAACCAAUGGCAUAUUGGAGAAAUCCAAUGGACGGUAAAAUUUAUGGUACUGAUCCUGUACUAAUUUGGGGCAGAGGAUAUGCUUGUGUCUUCCCUACA